rnacentral:rRNA from 1 species
GAUGAACGCUGGCGGCGUGCCUAACACAUGCAAGUCGAACGGAGUCCAGCCUUUAAGACCUUCGGGUCAAAGAGGGGAAGACUGAGUGGCGGACGGGUGAGUAACACGUGGGCAACCUGGCUCAUAGAGGGGGAUAACAGAGAGAAAUUUCUGCUAAUACCGCAUAAGCACACACUGCCGCAUGGCAGAGGGUGAAAAGAGAAUCGCUAUGAGAUGGACCCGCGUCUGAUUAGCCAGUUGGCAGGGUAAGAGCCUACCAAAGCGACGAUUAGUAGCCGAUCUGAGAGGAUGAACGGCCACAUUGGGACUGAGACACGGCCCAAACUCCUACGGGAGGCAGCAGUGGGGGAUAUUGCACAAUGGGGGGAACCCUGAUGCAGCGACGCCGCGUGAGUGAAGAAGUAUUUCGGUAUGUAAAGCUCUAUCAGCAGGGAAGAUAAUGACAGUACCUGAAUAAGAAGCCCCGGCUAACUACGUG